UGCGUAGGUGGUAUGGCAAGUCAGAAGUGAAAACCCAGGGCUUAACUCUGGGACUGCUUUUGAAACUGUCAGACUGGAGUGCAGGAGAGGUAAGCGGAAUUCCUAGUGUAGCGGUGAAAUGCGUAGAUAUUAGGAGGAACAUCAGUGGCGAAGGCGGCUUACCGGACUGAAACUGACACUGAGGCACGAAAGCGUGGGGAGCAAACA
rnacentral:rRNA from 1 species